GGCCCCGUGGCACAACUGGAUAGCGCGCACCCCUCCUAAGGGUGAGGUUGUGGGUUCGAACCCCGCCGGGGCCACCA
rnacentral:tRNA from 7 species